rfam:Homo sapiens chromosome 9, GRCh38 reference primary assembly.
GCCGGGUGUGGUGGCACACACCUAUAAUCCCAGCUACUCGGGAGGCUGAGACAGGAGAAUUGCUUGAACCUGGGAGGCGGAGGUUGCAGUGAGCCGAGAUCGCACCACUGCCCUCCAGCCUGGGUGACAGAGAAGAGACUCCGUCUCAAAAAAAAGAAAAAAAAAUAGAUAAAAUUAAGUUGGGUUUUCUUUUUUGAGAUGGAGUCUCACUCUGUCGCCCAGGCUGGAAUGCAGUGGUGUGUUCUUGGCUCACUGCAACCUCCACCUCCCGGGUUCGAGCAAUUCUGUGUCAG